UCCCCCUACGGGGGGCAGCAGUGGGGAAUAUUGCACAAUGGGGGAAACCCUGAUGCAGCGACGCCGCGUGAGUGAAGAAGUAUCUCGGUACGUAAAGCUCUAUCAGCAGGGAAGAAAAAAAGUCUUUGGCUUUGGACGGUACCUGACUAAGAAGCCCCGGCUAACUACGUGCCAGCAGCCGCGGUAAUACGUAGGGGGCAAGCGUUAUCCGGAUUUACUGGGUGUAAAGGGAGCGUAGACGGCAGCGCAAGUCUGGAGUGAAAUGCCGGGGCUCAACCCCGUCGUGCCGUUGAAACUGAUGUUCU
rnacentral:rRNA from 1 species